UACGGGGGGAGCAAGCGUUGUUCGGAUUUACUGGGCGUAAAGGGCGCGUAGGCGGCGCAACAAGUCACUUGUGAAAUCUCCGGGCUUAACCCGGAGCGGCCAAGUGAUACUGUCGUGCUAGAGUGCGGAAGGGGCUACUGGAAUUCUCGGUGUAGCGGUGAAAUGCGUAGAUAUCGAGAGGAACACCAGUGGCGAAGGCGAGUCCCUGGACAGGUCCUGACGCUGAGGCACGAAAGCUAGGGGAGCGAACAGG
rnacentral:rRNA from 1 species